GAUUUUAACACAUGAAACGAACAAGGUGAAAAAAUAAAAAGGAUUGGACACCUGGAGGAGUGGAGCCCCUUGGGACCUGAAAGGUGCAGUUUUUAGAAAUACGUGCAGUCCAAUUGACAGCGAUGCAUAUAAAGUUACACAUGUGAUGUCUUCUACUAUGUGGCUCAUUUCACCAUCGGUGGUAUUAUUUUCCUUUCACAAGCAUCUAUUGUUAAAGGUACUUCUCUGUUGUCAACCCUUUGGAAUAAAACUCGAGCACCAUAGAGUAUACUUGAGAUCGUCCAACAGAUGAGAGAAAAUUGAAGUUCAGGUUGAUCAUAUUGAAGCAACUAAUAAUUGGUGUUGUCUUUCUUGGACUGUAUUUUGGAUUUGCUGUUUUCAUCUUCACCUUGCAACAUUAUGCAGUUAAUUUUCAACAGAUAAGUGAGAACAAGAGGAGAUUCACUUGAAUUCCACUAAAAGAGCAAGUUUUCUUCUUUGGCAUUUCUACUGGAUUUGGUUUGCCUUUCACACCUGCAAACUUUGGAUUGUUACAGUCUAUUAUUAAUUAAGAUCGACGUUGGAGAAGACAAAGAUGACCCCAUAGUUAAAAUAGUUCUCUAUCUUGCAUGCUCUAUGUAGUAGAAUUCAUCAAGUUCGUUUUAUUCAAAUUAGUUUUUUAUUUUGCAUGUUUUUUUUUUGUAGUUUAUUUUAUUUAAAUUAGUUUUUAUU